AUUGAACGCUGGCGGAAUGCUUUACACAUGCAAGUCGAACGGCAGCACGGGGCAACCUGGUGGCGAGUGGCGAACGGGUGAGUAAUACAUCGGAACGUGCCCAAUCGUGGGGGAUAACGUAGCGAAAGUUACGCUAAUACCGCAUACGAUCUACGGAUGAAAGCGGGGGAUCGCAAGACCUCGCGCGAAUGGAGCGGCCGAUGUCAGAUUAGGUAGUUGGUGGGGUAAAGGCUCACCAAGCCGACGAUCUGUAGCUGGUCUGAGAGGACGACCAGCCACACUGGGACUGAGACACGGCCCAGACUCCUACGGGAGGCAGCAGUGGGGAAUUUUGGACAAUGGGCGCAAGCCUGAUCCAGCCAUUCCGCGUGCAGGAUGAAGGCCUUCGGUGGUAACUGCUUUUGUUACGGAACGAAACGGUUACGUCUUCCUAA
rnacentral:rRNA from 1 species